rnacentral:rRNA from 1 species
UACGUAGGGUGCAAGCGUUAAUCGGAAUACUGGGCGUAAAGCGUGCGCAGGCGGUUUUGUAAGACUGUCGUGAAAUCCCCGGGCUCAACCUGGGAAUGGCGAUGGUGACUGCAAGGCUAGAGUUUGGCAGAGGGGGGUAGAAUUCCACGUGUAGCAGUGAAAUGCGUAGAUAUGUGGAGGAACACCGAUGGCGAAGGCAGCCCCCUGGGUCAAAACUGACGCUCAUGCACGAAAGCGUGGGGAGCAAACAGG